UACGUAGGGUGCGAGCGUUAAUCGGAAUUACUGGGCGUAAAGCGCACGUAGGCGGCUUUGUAAGUUAGAGGUGAAAGCCCGGGGCUCAACUCCGGAAUUGCCUUUAAGACUGCAUCGCUUGAACGUCGGAGAGGUGAGUGGAAUUCCGAGUGUAGAGGUGAAAUUCGUAGAUAUUCGGAAGAACACCAGUGGCGAAGGCGGCUCACUGGACCGGUAUUGACGCUGAGGUGCGAAAGCGUGGGGAGCAAACAGG
rnacentral:rRNA from 1 species